UGACGCCACUUCCUAGGAGGUGAGCGCGCGCAUUUUAAAGACAUAGUAAACUUGUUUAAAACGCUGUUUUCGUGGGUUUACAGUCACCUGGAGCUUCAUUCACAAUGCCACUUUGCAGCCUUGAUGGAAAAUGCGAGAAAGAGAAGCGUCAAGAAUCAAUGGAUUCCUCGACUGUUACUAAGAACCUUUUGCAGGUAGUCGUCUGAGUUGCUUUCCCCUGCAUCUAUUUCACCACAGAAAUAGAGAUGGAAAAGCACGUCGGAUCAUGGGACAACCACAGCUGUGCACUUCCCUUCUUAUCCCUUUUCCGGCUGUCGUGUGUGUGUGUUGGUCUCAGAAAGCAAUCUCACGGUAAUGAAAUCACACGCGCACACAUCCACCUGGCCAAUCUCUCUGUAAUGAAGGCUGCUUGCACACACACCUGGGACAAGGAGGAUCCAGACAGGCCCGGACACAGACCAUCACGCUGGCAGGCCGGAGAGCAGCUCAUGCAAUGGCACAGGUUUCCCCCGCAGGCGCCAGUUUCAUUUAAAGGAGGGAGAAGGAGACGCUGCUCUGGCCAAUCAGCUGACAGACUGACUGACAGGAGGGACGCUGGGCUGUAGCAGAGUUUAAUAAAGGUACAGAUAUAAACC
rnacentral:lncRNA from 1 species